rnacentral:rRNA from 1 species
CCUACGGGAGGCAGCAGUGGGGAAUAUUGCACAAUGGGGGAAACCCUGAUGCAGCGACGCCGCGUGAAGGAAGAAGUAUUUCGGUAUGUAAACUUCUAUCAGCAGGGAAGAAAAUGACGGUACCUGACUAAGAAGCCCCGGCUAACUACGUGCCAGCAGCCGCGGUAAUACGUAGGGGGCAAGCGUUAUCCGGAUUUACUGGGUGUAAAGGGAGCGUAGGCGGUUUAGCAAGUCAGAAGUGAAAGCCCGGGGCUCAACUCGGGGACUGCUUUUGAAACUGUUGAACUAGAGUGCAGGAGAGGAGAGUGGAAUUCCUAGUGUAGCGGUGAAAUGCGUAGAUAUUAGGAGGAACACCAGUGGCGAAGGCGGCUUACUGGACUGUAAAUGACGCUGAGGCUCGAAAGCGUGGGGAGCAAACAGGAUUAGAUACCCGGGUAGUC